AUUGAACGCUGGCGGCAUGCCUUACACAUGCAAGUCGAACGGCAGCAUGAUCUAGCUUGCUAGAUUGAUGGCGAGUGGCGAACGGGUGAGUAAUACAUCGGAACGUGCCCUGUAGUGGGGGAUAACUAGUCGAAAGAUUAGCUAAUACCGCAUACGACCUGAGGGUGAAAGUGGGGGACCGCAAGGCCUCAUGCUAUAGGAGCGGCCGAUGUCUGAUUAGCUAGUUGGUGAGGUAAAGGCUCACCAAGGCGACGAUCAGUAGCUGGUCUGAGAGGACGAUCAGCCACACUGGGACUGAGACGCGGCCCAGACUCCUACGGGAGGCAGCAGUGGGGAAUUUUGGACAAUGGGCGAAAGCCUGAUCCAGCAAUGCCGCGUGUGUGAAGAAGGCCUUCGGGUUGUAAAGCACUUUUGUCCGGAAAGAAAUGGCCCUGGUUAAUACCUGGGGUCGAUGACGGUACCGGAAGAAUAAGGACCGGCUAACUACGUG
rnacentral:rRNA from 1 species